rnacentral:misc_RNA from 1 species
GAGAGAGAUGCGAGGAACUGGAGGACCUCUUCUAUGCAUAGGCGAUCUUCUGUGCGAUGUCGGCGAAGAAGAAGCCGUUGAUGGAAAGGGAUCAAAUGAAACCCCCAAAUCAAUUCCAUCGCCAUCUUCUUCCUCUGCUUCUGUUUCCUCUCUUUUCGACGUAUCUCAUCCCCCCGAUCUCCCCAAACUCUUCCAGGAAAAUUAC